rnacentral:misc_RNA from 1 species
GAUGAAGAACGUAGCGAAAUGCGAUAAGUAAUGUGAAUUGCAGAAUUCAGUGAAUCAUCGAAUCUUUGAACGCAUCUUGCGCUCCUUGGUAUUCUGAGGAGCAUGCCUGUUUGAGUGUCAUUAAAUUCUCAACUACACUGACUUUGAAUUGGUGUGGCUUGGAUUUGGGGGGAAAAUUGUUGUGGGCUUUUUGUAUAGUCUGCUCCCCUGAAAUUGAUUAGCGGUACCUUUGUGGAACUGUCUACAGGUGUGAUAAUUAUCUACAUCUUAGACAUCUGCUGGAAUGCUGCUUUCUAAACCUUACUUGUAUUGACAAUCUUGACCUCAAAUCAGGUAUGACUACCCGCUGAACUUAAGCAUAUCAAUAAGCGGAGGA